ACUGGUGUUUUGGAAAAUCAAUCGACAUCACACUAGACUGAAAAUAUCUCAAAAUAUUGCUUGCAACUUCCUCCUGCUCCAGGAGGCCACCACCCAGGACAGCAGCAGCCUUUCCCUGGUUGUUGAUUUUCUAGAAAUGUUCUUCUAUCUCCAGACACAAGGAAUUUCAAGUAUUUUUCUUCCUCUGCUGCUUUGUUUUUUCUCCUCCUCCUCUUCCUCCUCCUCCCCUCCUCCCCCUCCCCCCUCCUCUUCUUUUUCUUUCUUGCCUUUCGCUGCCCACAUUGUAUUGUCCUGACCCAGCUAGCAGUGUUGAGCCUGCAGCCCCGGGCUGGUCACUGGGCUCAGAGCAGCAACACGGGCUCCUUAGGCUGGGAAACAAUACCUCCAUAAUUCAUUGAGCCCUCCCCUUGGAUGACUUUCCUGUUGCUGAUUGUCCAGGCCUGCACAAACUACUUUUUCCUGCAGCUAAAUUUAAAAGGGCCAGACCCUGGAAACAGUGUAACAAGCCCAGCUCACUGCAAGGGCAAAGGUGGUGUGAUGGCUAUUCUUGGUUGUCAACUUGACAACAUCUGGAAUGAACGAAAACCCAAGUGGUCGGGAUCACCUGUCAGGGGAGUUUUCCUGAUUGAAUCUUUGAGAUGGGAAAACCCAUCCUAAGUCUGGGCCACAGCCUCUGGGAUUGUCUCUGGUGGCAGCCUAUGUGAAGGAAGCAGGAGGAGGAGGAACCCUUGAUCUUUGCCUGCUUGCUCUCACUCUCGCCGGCAGUUUCAUCCCUUCAGUGGUGUUAGAGCCUACUUCUUGGAGGUUAGAGCAUUAUAAUCUUGGAGAUUAUAGUGAAGACCAGCUGAGACAUCCAACGUCACAGACUGAGAAACUACUGCAUUCUUGAACUUUCCACCAGAAGAAAACCAUUGUUGGAAAACUUGGAUCGCAGCCUGUCCCAAAUGCAAGCUGGGUGGUCAAAGGAUUUGAGUUUAGUGCUUUCCCAUGUGGCUGCAUCGGCUUGCAUUCCCACCGGCCACGAGAAAGGCUGCGGACAUUGGGCAAAUGACUUAAUAUCUUGGUGUUUCAAUUUCCACUUCUGAAAAAAAGUGACGGAGCAAGGCUUGGUGACAACCCCAGACUUUAACACAUACUACAUCACAGCCAGCACCAAGUCUCUGUGGCCAUGGUGAAGAACAAGCAAACAGACUGUGAGACAAGAAGAGACCUGUAGCUGAGGCCACGCACGAGCUGCGAGCCAGCGGUUCACACAGGAGCACAGGGGAUGUGAUGUGUAUGCUCUGUGUGUGUUACACAGGCAUGUGCCAAACGGUGAAUCUGCAUGGGACUUAAGCUUGUCGCACAGCCUAACCCGGGAUGGGUCUUAGGCCAAAGUGUAAAAAGUCAGACUACAAAACUCCAGAGGAAAUCUAAAUAAUAUUGGUUAUGACACUGUUGUUUUAGCUAUAACAGCAAAGAUGUGGUGGCCCGUGGAAGAAAGAGUCGCCAAGCUGGACUUAAACUUAAAUUCUUCUGUUCUGCAAAAUAUAAUGCCAGAAAAGAAAAGAGCAGACAGCCACAGACUGUAAGAGAAUAUUUACAGAAUAUAUAUCCAACAAAAAACUGUGGUCGAGGGGCUGAGCUUAAAGCUCAGUGAUAGAGUACUUGCCUAGCAUGUGCCAAUCCCUGGGUCCAUCCUAGCUCUGGGGGAGGAGGUUUACAUAUAAAUAUGCUGUACUAUAUAUAUUUUACAUAUAUAAUACAUGUAUACUAUAAUUAUAUAUAAUAUAAUGUAUAUAAUAAACUAUAUAUUAUAUAAAUACAUAUAAUGAGGGGACAACAACCUCAUUAACAAAAGACACCAAA